rnacentral:miRNA from 1 species
CUUCUCUACUGAGUCUGGCAGUG